CACACAUGAUGUAGUACUCAGUACCUGGGAAUAAUAGGUUAUUUUACUAGCUGCAUAGUUUGGAGAUACCUAUGGAUACUCUGCACAUGCUAGAUGGACCUUGGGAAGUUAUGCCAGAUGAUAAAACACAGAAACCAAAGGCCACACACUGGUUAUAAUGAUACUUUCUUUUUUUCUUAGUAAAUGUCUGUUACAGCCACACCUAUAGAAGCAGAUUAGCGGUUCCUAGGGACUAUGGAGACAGGAAUGAGGAGUAAUUAUUAAUGGGUCAAAAGGAAAUGCUUUUGAGGAAAUGAAAAUUUCUAGAAGGAAGGUAGAGCUGGUGGCUGCACAUUGUGAAAGCAAAAACAUGAAAAUGAUUAAAAUACUAAGCUGGGUAUUACAUAUAUUCACCAUAAUUUAAACCACUCAUGUACACAGACUUUCCAAACACCUUUCUCCAGCUCACUCUUCCUCAAGAUUGCUCAUCUCUCUUGAUACGCGCCAAGGGUCAUUUUCCCAUAGUCACAUAUCCUAAAGAUGAACCCAUUAAAACCACACGCUUUCCCAUCCCAAGCCUCCCACAUGGCACCAGAUUUCUCACCACCCUCCAGAGUAGACCGUGUGUGACAAUGCUUCCAUUUUGCUGAGGGCUACAUUUUGCUAGUGCUGACGUAGUUUUCUUAGGUCACUAGACAGAGGAUGAACUCAAUUCCCUGUUCCUUGGUUCAAUGAUCCCAUUUCACCUUAGGCUGGUUUCUUGACAGCACAUUUUCUAGUGCACAAAGGACUUCACUUUUAUGUUAUUUGUAUGGGAAGGCUAUUGGAUUGACGUUUAUUCCAGGCUGGACUCUCAGGAUGAAGUAGAUUAUGGCCUCACAGGGGCAGUAGUAGGACUGUUGUUGGCUUGCUUUAAAUGGAAAUUACUGCCUUCACUAGGGGCCAUUAGCACAUCAAAAUGGUGUUUGUUGAGCCAGGAAAAGUGAUACAUUAUGUUUGCAUUUAUUCUUUGGUCCCCAAAGACUAAUUGUUGGUUUGUGUUUUUAAACACCCUUUCAAGUGCUAAGAGCCUCUAAUGAGUUAAAUUAACACACCAUUAGGGUUAAGAAUAGUGGUGUUGACGUGGACACAGUAGACCAAUUACUGGUGCUGGACUAUAGGAUGAAGCCCUGUAUGCACAGAACCCAGCUGCCCUGCCAUUUCUGAAAGACUAGGACACUUGAUAGAGCAUUCUCCACCCCCCGACACUUGUUUUGCUUAUCCUUGCAACUGUCUUUUGCCAUGAGGACCAGCCAUUAUGCAAACAAGGACACCAUGGCUUGGAGAGGCAUUGUGCCCAAUCAGACCAGCAAGAGGGUUGGGUGGGGACCCCAGAGAAUACCUGCUUUUGUUCAUAACACUUCUUGGACUUCUGGUGUUUGCACAGGGUCCAGCUUGAUACAGAGUGAAAGGUGAGCUUCCAUGAUGCCACUUAAAGAUCUGAUUUAGCUCUAGUGGAUAAUCUCUUCCUGCAAUCCAGCCAGCAUAGCUGGGGGUGGGGUGGGGUAUACCUACAAUAUGAUGAGGUGCUUGGCUCUAAGGGGGAGAGGAACUUGCUCCAUUCUGCAGAGAUAGUACAGUGGACAUGUUAGAAACUUCCAGAAACGUAGAUGCUCUAAGUGAAUCUGUUCCACUGUCUAGGAUGAGGUCAUCUCUGUCAAUCACUAUCAUGAUUUUAGAUGAUUUUUGGGUUGCAGGGAUGUUAUUAUCUUCCGUCCUCUCGGCUGAGCGAUAGAACCCAGAGGAUGAUUUUUAUAUAGCGAAACACAGUGAAAUUGAGGCUGCUAGGAACACUCUCUUGGCACAGUUUGUGAUAUGUCAGGUAGACUCCUCCUUUGGGCUGUUCUGGCUUCAUUGUUUAUCCUUAUAAUCCUGCUUGGAUGGGCUCCUAGAUUCUUCACAUAUCUCUAGGAAAAAGCCAAGUUAACUUGUGUUGGGCAGUGGGAAAAGGUUCAUAUCAAGACAUGGACAAUACUGGGGACAGGGUCAGAAUUACCCAAAACCAAGGACCUCCUCUUUGUCAUAGGAGGGAGCUAUUUCUGGUGCUUUUAACAGAGACAAGUUGUCACUGUCUGAAGACUGAUAACCAAGGUCUGUCUCCCUAGAUCUAUGCUUGAUGCCAUCCCUUUGCCGUUCUGAGCAGUAUGGCACUUAGGGGGCUGCUCUGUGCUAGGGGAAUUUGGUUUCUUUUUAAUACGUAAUAAUCACCAUUACAUCUCAAUUACUUAACAAAUAGAGAAGCACGGGGCCAUGUUAUUUCCAAAGAGCCUCCUGAGAGUAUGGCUGGAGAUCUCCAAAUGUUAUCCAAAAUUAGCCUGGAGAGGGCGGGCGAUCAGAUCUUUUAAUAUGUGCCCAAGGGAACACACGCGCAUUAUGUACUACUAGUGUGGGCGUGCUGUGCCUAUUCAUGGCUCGCACGCAGUCCUGGAAAACACCAUGCUCCUCCUCUUCCUGCUAGGAGAUACCUAGGCCCAUUAGAAGAGGCUGCAACAAGACCCUUUCUACUUCCAAGGGUGACAAUUGGAUGAGCUUUUUCUUCUCUUAAGCUGAGAAGCCCCAGAUUCUGGCUGGAAAGGAAAUAAUAGGUCACAGACAUAAUAAAAGGUACAUAAGUAAAUAUGAAAUAGUGGCAAAAAGACGUGAAAUUGUUUGAUGGGUCAGCAAGCAAACAAACAAACAAACAAAACCUCACAACUGGAUAGUGAGACAUUCCUCCUCCCAUUUGACCACAACGGUUGCCUUUUAACUCUGGUUUGUCAGUCAGUGCUGUUAAUAUUUUAUGAAAAGGGUGCUUAGGGCAAGGCAGCCAUAGACCAUUUUCUUGGGAAAUGUACAGUUUCUCAAGGCGUUUGUUUUUCAAGCCUUGGCAGUUGGCACUUUUCUUUUGAGAAAGCAGGAGUUGUUGGGGGCAGACCCUUAGUCUUAUUUCCAAGACUUGGGGUUUGGCUUAGUGUAGAAUUGUGAUCAUGAAAGCAGCUUUGGUUUACUGGUGGCAUAGCACUCAAAUAAAUUUGGGUUUAGCUAAAAGCCCUCAACAUAUAAUGAGGAUUACAAGUUAGGGAUCGGCCUGCCCCUGAAGCGUUCGAUUUCAUUUCGAUGGGCAUCUGGUAGGGCUCACUGCUUGCUGGGGGCAGAAGGCAGGCUUUUCAUCUACUGGAGCCUGCAGCCCUCAGGUACUCUGCGUGCUGGCUUUGCAUGUGGGCCUUUAUGCAGGGUGAAUAGCUCUGCAUUUGUUGUAGAAUCAAGGACUAAGUAAAGGGGAGAGAAGAGAUUACCAUUUGAGCACCCGGGUUCCCACUAAACCAAAGCAGAAAAUCCGUGCACUGUCGGUGAUGAAUUGAAGGUUAAACGACAAAUCUUCCUCGAAACUAUUCCUGUUGUCUAGUCUAUGAACUGAAAACUGGAUUAACCUUUAAUUACCCUCAACGAUCUCUCAACCCCGAGACAACAUUGCCACUGCCACCAGUAGUAUUUGCAUAUACAAUUUAACGAGAGAAACAUCUGUUUGCAUAUUUGGAAUCAUUACUAGCAUGCAGAUUAAUGGAUACUUGCAGUGAGGUGUCACUUUCGUACACAGGUUCUCCAUUCUUCCCCAUAACCAGGAAGAUGUGAGUCUGAGGUAUCUUCUUGGUAGGAAGGUUACAAUAUUACAAAUCUCCUAUGGAUGGACUUGGCCAUCUGUGAGCACACUUUAGUGGACUGAUGCUCUGGAUAACACAUGGAUACCUAGAGGAGGAGGAAGACCUAGAGAGCAGAGUCACAGAAAGAAGAAACAGGUGAUGACUUCUCAGGGUGGUAGGCAAAUGGAAUUUAGCUCGAUAGAUAUACUACCCUUCUCUCUGUGGUCUGGGAGUCACAUCUUCUUCUCCAAGUUGCUAAAGAAGAUAGAUUUUGAGGACACCAGAGUGCAUGGUUAAUCCAGAAGACACCAUUUCAUCCUCUUAACCAAGGAGGCCUUGCAUGUGGCAUACAAGUGAUCUGUUACCGAGCUCCAUCCCUCGUCUCUGGAUCCUGCAAAUCUGCUGCAUCUUGAGGAACACAUCCUGAAGGAUCCUAGAAACAUAGAUCCCCACUUCACAUACAGAUAGCCACCGUGAUAUCAUUCAUGAUACGGAUCUGUAAGGGACAACCUAAAACUGAACCGGCUUGGAGAGAUCACUCGCUGGUUAAGAGCAUGCUCCUGUCACAGAGGACCCCAUUCCCAGCACUCACAGGGACCGAUUCACAAUUUCCU
rnacentral:sRNA from 1 species